UUCAUAUCUGCAUCGUCGGAGCGCAUAUUUAGAAUGGAGCAGCGCUUGUUUAUACUGUCAGAGCACGAUCCUUCAUUACCGGAGCUCUGUGGUUUCAAAAGCUUCAUUGCCAGAGCUAAAUGUCAGAGCGUGUUUUAGCACUACCGGAGAGAGUUCUUGUAAUGUCAGAAUGCUGCGGCUCAGACCCGGAGCAGUACAUUCAUAAUGUCAAAAGCACGCGUGAAAACAUGAGAGAGGCCGUGUGCAAACAAAUAAAAGUGGUUUAGUCUUAUUUCAUACUACCUUUCCGAGGUUAUUUGCAGGAGAGGUUGCUUGGAGGAUAUAAGUGAGAGAAUUGGAGGAUGUAAGUGUGAGAGAAAAGAUGGAGGUGGGGUAAGUUGAUAGUCUAUUUUAGGUUUUUUUUUUUUUGUUUAAAUAAACUCUCUCUGUGCGAUUCCUUUCUGUGCUUCUCUCUCGUAUGGAUCAAUAGUGGAGACAUAGAAGAAACGUAUGGAUCAAUAGUGGACACAUCUUUUCUGUGUUUCUCUCUCGUAUGGAUCAAUAGUGGAGACAUAGAAGAAACGUAUAGAUCAAUAGUGGAUACAUAGAAGAAAGGGUUUGGUUCUCUCUUUGCAGUUUAUGUGGUGGAGUGGGUUAUAUGAUGCUGAUCAUCAGGCUUCUCUGUUCACCAAAGCGAUUCUUUCAGUUAGUCUACUUUUGGGGUUCAUCAGUUCCUCACAGAGCGCUGGACUGGUACACCAUUUCACUUCACAAUAUCUCUGUUGAUUAAAUAAAACAAAUUCAUUCUCCAUGGUAGAAAGAGAAUUAGAGAAAAGCAGGCGUGUUGUCAAUUCUGCGGGCUUUCAUGGGUCCCUUUCCUGCUUGGUUUUGAGGUACGUUCCGGCAAAGUGUGAUCAGUUUUGGCUGGUGGAUGAAUGGUGGUCCAUUGAUUUUGACAAAAUCAAGAAAUUGUCAACUGGAAUUCGAUGGAUCCAUCCAUUGAGAAUGAAGGUAACGAUAAGGGAAGCAUGUGGGUUCUCGAGUAAAAGCUCGACCAGCCCGUGGAUGAAGAGGCUGGUCGGCUUCUGAGCAUGUACGAGGAGAAGAAAUUUUUCAACUGUAUUUACUCUGCGCCUUGCACGUCUCCUUUGUAUGUAUUUUACAGCACCUUUCCUCAAGGAAUAAAUGCCCCAGAAGAUGUGAUAAGAGCUCUUUCACUGAUUAUAUACUCUGUUAACUCUUAUCCCACUUCUCAAAUAUUUAUUUUUGGCCUUGAGGGCAAAUGAAAAUGGCCAAGGUAAGUUGCUUUUGGUUCAAUCCUCUGUCAAAUGAACCAUGCUAAUGCAUUCACAUGGAAAAUCACUAGAACGUGUGAUUGAGUAUCAUUGUCUUACUAUUCUUCUGAAAAGAGCAUGAGAGAUUCUGAGAGUCAUAGUAAGUAUAGUUUAUAUCUGGGAAAUCUGGACGAUUGGUGAAUGCUAUCCUCAUUGGGUACAGCUGGACUACUAACCCAGGGAAAUGCAGAGAAUAUCCUUUUCUUUGGGUAAACAUUCACUGGAAACAUUUUAUCGAUGGCAACAUUCACUGGAAACAUUUCAUUUCUUCCAUCGAAUCCUGAUGCUCAAGAAAAUGACAUAUAGAAAAUAAAGGUUCUUCUUCAAUGCGUUGGAACUUCUAUGUGCACUGACCAAUCAGACUGGUUUGGAGAUGGAGAUGCAAAUAAUCAUUCAAGAAAUGCUGAUCGAUAAGUUUUAUCAAAAUUUUUACAAGCCCAUCCUGCGGAUUUUGCCACCCUGAAGUUGGAGGUUUCUCCCUAUUUUUGCACAUGUUUGGCCAUACUCUCUCCUUGCAUUUUAUGCAUGCUUGAUGCCGAUUCUACUGGUGGAGACUUGGUGUGGCAAUAGUCCAAUUAUUUGUGUAUGUUAGUGAGCAAUUGGGAUUGAUUGGAUAAUGCACUUUAUUGCUUCCAUAUGGGCAUUGGUGGGUGCAUAAACUUCUACCGAUUUAAUGUGAAGGUUAUGUCAGGACAUGUAGGGGAUGGGAUACUGAAGUACUUCUACCAUGCCGUUUUGAUUUUCUGUUUUCUCAAGUCAUUUUUGUGGAUUCACGCUCAAUUUUUUGUUGAGGGCUGCUAGAGUGGCUAAUGUGUUGAAACGCGACGUACUGGUGUGCUCAAAGAAAACAAGCUCUUAUUUAUGUUGAGAUAGUUGGAGUUCAUCCUGAAUGCGGUCUUCUGCUUUCCCCAGAAGUACAUUGUUGUGCCGAAUCUUUCACCUGGAAUCUGUCCUGAAGAAAUCUCUUGACAUUGGUGAUGAGAUCUAGAGAUCUUCUUGUAAUGUUGAUGUCAUUGACAUACAGGGGGAUAAUUACACUACCUUUGGUGCUCCUAUGGAUGAAAAGAGAACGAUCCGCUGUUGUCGUAAUUAAUCCAUAUUCCUUUGCUUUGAUCCAUGGAUAAUCUCUGUGAGUGGUGAUGAUAGGGUUAUACAACGUGCAACUUCAAAAAAAUUUCAUCCAUCUUGUAGGCCUUCUAAUUUUAAUCUCCCUAUGUAUAUCAGCAAAGAUUUAAUGUUGAAAAAUUGGCUCCCUGGCCACCUGGACAGUCCAAGCAAGCCAAGCGAAUGGGCUUGAGCCUAGGUGCAUGCAUAGGAGCUCUUCAGGCGAGUCCCUUUUGCACUUCUGUUCAUUUAUUUAGAAAGAUAAAAGGGUCCUUUUCCUAUUUUUGUGAGAAAUGAAGUGCGGUUCUUUUAUUUAGGGAGAGAGAAUAUGUUCUUUAGAG